rnacentral:rRNA from 1 species
AUGGCCCUCAACCCCUUCUCCUCCGGCACCCGCCUCCGGGACAUGAUACGGGCGAUACGCGCGUGCAAGACGGCGGCGGAGGAGCGGGCGGUGGUGCGGCGGGAGUGCGCGGCGAUACGGGCGGCGAUCAGCGGGGACGGGCAGGACCUGCGGCACCGCAACAUGGCCAAGCUCAUGUUCAUCCACAUGCUCGGCUACCCGACCCACUUCGGCCAGAUGGAGUGCCUCAAGCUCAUCGCCGCCGCCGGAUACCCCGAGAAGCGGAUCGGCUACCUCGGCCUCAUGCUGCUGCUCGACGAGCGCCAGGAGGUCCUCAUGCUCGUCACCAACUCGCUCAAGCAGGAUCUCAACCACUCGAACCAGUUCAUCGUGGGGCUCGCGCUGUGCGCGCUUGGGAACAUCUGCUCUGCUGAGAUGGCCCGGGAUCUGGCGCCUGAAGUGGAGAGGCUGAUGCGAAGCAGGGAUGCUAAUACAAAGAAGAAGGCUGCUCUGUGCUCUGUAAGGAUUGUAAGAAAAGUCCCAGAUUUGGCGGAAAACUUCAUGGGUCUCGCUGCAUCAUUACUGAAGGAAAAACACCAUGGGGUUUUGAUAUCUGCAGUUCAGCUCUGCACUGAAUUGUGUAAAGCCAGCAAAGAUGCACUGGAGUACCUGAGAAAGAACUGCAUCGAAGGUCUGGUCCGAAUACUUAGAGAUGUCUCCAAUAGUUCAUAUGCUCCUGAGUAUGAUGUUGCUGGCAUUUCUGAUCCUUUCUUGCAUAUCCGGGUUCUUAAACUUAUGCGUAUGUUGGGUCAAGGUGACGCAGAUUGCAGUGACUAUAUGAAUGAUAUUCUCGCUCAGGUCGCAACAAAAACUGAGUCAAACAAGAAUGCUGGAAAUGCCAUCUUAUAUGAAUGUGUUGAGACUAUAAUGGGUAUUGAAGCUACUAGCGGUCUACGUGUCCUGGCUAUUAAUAUUCUGGGUAGAUUCUUGUCAAACCGCGAUAACAAUAUAAGAUAUGUUGCUCUGAACAUACUUAUGAGGGCCAUUACAGUAGAUGCACAAGCCGUACAGAGGCACAGGGUGACAAUAUUGGAGUGUGUAAAGGACGCCGAUGCCUCCAUUCGCAAAAGGGCCCUGGAUCUUGUUUAUUUGUUGGUCAAUGAUACAAAUGUAAAGCCUCUGACCAAAGAGCUCGUCGACUACUUACAAGUAGCUGAUCCAGACUUCAAAGAAGAUCUCACAGCCAAGAUAUGCNNNNNNNNNNNNNNGUUUUCUCAAGAAAAGUUAUGGUAUCUUGAUCAGAUGUUCAAGGUUUUAUCCCUGGCUGGAAAUCAUGUGAAAGAUGAUGUGUGGCAUGCCCUUAUUGUUGUAAUAAGCAAUGCGUCUGAACUUCAAGGAUACUCAGUGAGAUCAUUAUACACGGCUUUACAAGCAUACAGUGAACAGGGAAGUUUACUGAGAGUAGCUGUUUGGUGCAUUGGUGAAUAUGGUGAAAUGCUAGUGAACAAUGUUGCCAUGCUUGAAGCUGAGGGACCAAUCACGGUAACAGAAUCUGAUGCUGUGGAUGCUGUUGAGCUAGGUCUUAACCGUUAUUCUCCAGAUGUGACAACUAGGUCUAUGUGUCUAGUUGCUCUUUUGAAGCUCUCCUCACGGUUUCCAUCUAUGUCGGAGAGGAUAAAACAAAUAGUUUCCCAGAAUAAAGAGAAUAUGGUGCUUGAACUACAGCAAAGAUCAAUUGAAUUCGGUUCCAUUAUACAAAGACAUCAGUCUAUCAGGUCAUCUUUGCUUGAACGUAUGCCUGUACUGGAUGAAGCUGCUUAUCUUGUGAAGAGGGCUAGUGCUACACAAGCAACUAUUCCAGCAUAUAAGCCUGCAGCAGUCACUCCUGGAGGCCUUAAGCUUCCUAAUGGUGUAGCAAAACCUGCUGCAGCUCCAUUAGUUGAUUUGCUUGAUUUAAGUUCUGACGAUGCACCAGUCACUUCCGCUGCUUCUGCUACUACAGCACCUAGUGAUUUUCUACAAGACCUUUUGGGUAUUGGUGGGACAAAUCUAUCAACUGCAGGAGCACCUUCAUCUGCAAGCACAGAUAUUCUAAUGGAUCUUCUAUCCAUGGGAUCGUCUCCAUCACAGAAUGGUCUGCCAUCUCCAGGCUUGAGUUCUCCUGCCCUAGAGAAAAAACCUGUUUCUGCUGCACCUCAAGUUGGUUCUCUUGUACCUGAACCUAUGGAUCUACUCGGCAGUUUGUCAUCAAGUGCAUCUGUUUCUGGAACUAAAUCCACUAUUGCUGCACCUCAAGCUGUGGAUCUGCUCGACGGUUUGUCACCAAGUACAUCCGUUUCUGGACUUGAAGAUACUCGCCCGUCAAUAACGGCUUUCCAGAGUGCAACUUUGAAGAUCACCUUUGAUAUCAGAAAACAGCCUGGAAAGCCGCAAGAGACUACCAUCCAUGCCACUUUUACAAAUUUGACAUCUAGCAAUUAUACAGAUUUCAUUUUUCAGGCAGCUGUUCCAAAGUUCAUUCAAUUGCGACUGGAUCCAGCUAGCGGUAACAUUGUUCCAGCCAAUGGAAAGGGUUCAGUCACACAAGGUUUCAGUGUCACGAAUAAUCAGCAUGGGCAGAAACCGCUUGCAAUGCGUAUCCGGAUGUCUUACAAAGUGAACGGCGAGGACAGGUUGGAACAAGGCCAAGUCAGCAAUUUUCCACCUGGAGUAUAG